rnacentral:tRNA from 1 species
AAGAAUUUAAGUUAAAGAAACUAUUGACCUUCAAAGUCAAAAUUAGAAGCAGUAUUCUAAUUCUUA